AUUGAACGCUGGCGGCAGGCUUAACACAUGCAAGUCGAGCGGGGUGAUGGUGCUUGCACUAUCACUUAGCGGCGGACGGGUGAGUAAUGCUUAGGAAUCUGCCUAUUAGUGGGGGACAACAUCUCGAAAGGGAUGCUAAUACCGCAUACGUCCUACGAGAGAAAGCAGGGGAUCACUUGUGACCUUGCGCUAAUAGAUGAGACUAAGUCGGAUUAGCUAGUUGGUGGGGUAAAGGCCUACCAAGGCGACGAUCUGUAGCGGGUCUGAGAGGAUGAUCCGCCACACUGGGACUGAGACACGGCCCAGACUCCUACGGGAGGCAGCAGUGGGGAAUAUUGGACAAUGGGGGGAACCCUGAUCCAGCCAUGCCGCGUGUGUGAAGAAGGCCUUAUGGUUGUAAAGCACUUUAAGCGAGGAGGAGGCUCUUUUGGUUAAUACCCAAGAUGAGUGGACGUUACUCGCAGAAUAAGCACCGGCUAACUCUGUGCCAGCAGCCGCGGUAA
rnacentral:rRNA from 1 species